rnacentral:rRNA from 1 species
GAUGAACGCUGGCGGCGUGCCUAAUACAUGCGAGUCGAGCGAACAGACGAGGAGCUUGCUCCUCUGACGUUAGCGGCGGACGGGUGAGUAACACGUGGAUAACCUACCUAUAAGACUGGGAUAACUUCGGGAAACCGGAGCUAAUACCGGAUAAUAUAUUGAACCGCAUGGUUCAAUAGUGAAAGACGGUUUUGCUGUCACUUAUAGAUGGAUCCGCGCCGCAUUAGCUAGUUGGUAAGGUAACGGCUUACCAAGGCAACGAUGCGUAGCCGACCUGAGAGGGUGAUCGGCCACACUGGAACUGAGACACGGUCCAGACUCCUACGGGAGGCAGCAGUAGGGAAUUUUCCGCAAUGGGCGAAAGCUUGACGGAGCAACGCCGCGUGAGUGAUGAAGGUCUUCGGAUCGUAAAACUCUGUUAUUAGGGAAGAACAAAUGUGUAAGUAACUAUGCACGUCUUGACGGUACCUAAUCAGAAAGCCACGGCUAACUACGUG